UGCAGUCGACGCUUCUUUUUCCACCGGAGCUUGCUCCACCGGAAAAAGAGGAGUGGCGAACGGGUGAGUAACACGUGGGUAACCUGCCCAUCAGAAGGGGAUAACACUUGGAAACAGGUGCUAAUACCGUAUAACAAUCAAAACCGCAUGGUUUUGAUUUGAAAGGCGCUUUCGGGUGUCGCUGAUGGAUGGACCCGCGGUGCAUUAGCUAGUUGGUGAGGUAACGGCUCACCAAGGCCACGAUGCAUAGCCGACCUGAGAGGGUGAUCGGCCACAUUGGGACUGAGACACGGCCCAAACUCCUACGGGAGGCAGCAGUAGGGAAUCUUCGGCAAUGGACGAAAGUCUGACCGAGCAACGCCGCGUGAGUGAAGAAGGUUUUCGGAUCGUAAAACUCUGUUGUUAGAGAAGAACAAGGAUGAGAGUAACUGUUCAUCCCUUGACGGUAUCUAACCAGAAAGCCACGGCUAACUACGUGCCAGCAGCCGCGGUAAUACGUAGGUGGCAAGCGUUGUCCGGAUUUAUUGGGCGUAAAGCGAGCGCAGGCGGUUUCUUAAGUCUGAUGUGAAAGCCCCCGGCUCAACCGGGGAGGGUCAUUGGAAACUGGGAGACUUGAGUGCAGAAGAGGAGAGUGGAAUUCCAUGUGUAGCGGUGAAAUGCGUAGAUAUAUGGAGGAACACCAGUGGCGAAGGCGGCUCUCUGGUCUGUAACUGACGCUGAGGCUCGAAAGCGUGGGGAGCAAACAGGAUUAGAUACCCUGGUAGUCCACGCCGUAAACGAUGAGUGCUAAGUGUUGGAGGGUUUCCGCCCUUCAGUGCUGCAGCUAACGCAUUAAGCACUCCGCCUGGGGAGUACGACCGCAAGGUUGAAACUCAGAAGA
rnacentral:rRNA from 1 species